AUCACAGGAGAGAAUCACUGGAGAGAAUCACAGGAGAGAAUCACAGGAGAGAAUCACAGGAGAGAAUCACAGGAGAGAAUCACUGGAGAGAAUCACAGGAGAGAAUCACAGGAGAGAAUCACAGGAGAGAAUCACAGGAGAGAAUCACAGGAGAGAAUCACAGGAGAGAAUCACAGGAGAGAAUCACAGGAGAGAAUCACAGGAGAGAAUCACAGGAGAGAAUCACAGGAGAGAAUCACAGGAGAGAAUCACAGGAGAGAAUCACAGGAGAAAAUCACAGGAGAGAAUCACUGGAGAGAAUCACAGGAGAGAAUCACAGGAGAGAAUCACAGGAUAGCAUCACAGGAUAGCAUCACAGGAGAGAAUCAUAGGAGAGAAUCACAGGAGAGAAUCACAGGAGAGAAUCACAGGAGAGAAUCACUGGAGAGAAUCACAGGAGAGAGUCACUGGAGAGAAUCAUAGGAGAGAAUCACAGGAUAGCAUCACAGGAGAGCAUCACUGAGGACAGGGGAGAAUGGCCAUCUACUUCCAAACAUGAUUUGUCCUAUUUGAAUAAACCUAUUUUCCUCCCCCUGAUUUGCUUUGAGGUCUGUAUUAUUAAAGAAUAACACGAACUGCUAACAUUUGGUGACGUGAUCCGGAUGAAUUGAUCUCAACAAAAACAAGAAAAACGUAUCAACUUUGUGUUGAUCCAGAAAAAAGAGAGAAUGCUGAGCGCAAACCACUUUGGGGAGUCAACUCUUAAUCUCCUGAUUGAUGGCAUAAGUGCAGGGUGAGUCCAUUUUAAAAGAACCAAAUCAGGUUAAAGUUAGUGCGUGCAAUGAGUGAUAUGUAUCGGUUAUGUACAAGGGGUCGAGUCCUUUGUUCCAUUACAGACUUCCUUUGUUCUCUAUGAAAAGGUUUGAGGCCUUUCUCUUUGUUCUCUAUUAUAGGGGUUCAAGUCCUCUAUUAAAAGGUUAGAGUCUUUUCAUUUUGGUGAAACCUUCUUGUCGCAUAGAAGUGAGUUGCUCGUUGAGUAGCAAUUUUUACAGGUGUGGUUAAUGUAGGCCUUCAAAAAGCUUUUUGAAGUGAACACAUAUUUGUAUGGGUAGCCAAGCCCUACAGAAACAUGUUGGGUUCUAGAAGAGGUUUGAGUUCUUAAAAGGGGUUACAUUUUGGGGUUAAUUAAAUAUAUAAACAUAGAUAUAUAUAUAUAUUAUACAGCUUUUGAAGUUAAUAUAAUGUCAUUGUAAAGUGAGAAAACCACUUACUGUCUAGUGAUAUGAAGAACCAUUUCAGAGUAGAGAAGUGUAGGCAAGAGAUAAUAAAGAAAUAUUCAUUCAUUGUUGACGAAGAUGGAAUAUGGAAUCUGUCUGAUACACAAAAAGCUUGGGGAAAAAUUCAGAGGAUGUCUAAAUGUCUGACAAAAACAAGAUGGUCUUUAAGUGUUUUAGCCAAAGUAAGAAAAUGGGAUGAGAAAUUAUUUCUGGACAAUCAUGACAGGACAUUGAAGAGAGAUACAGAUAGUUUGAAAGCUCUUGGUGAACAGAUCAAAACCUUGAAAGAAGAUAUUCAACAAUUACAGAAAAGAGUCGUAAAAACCAACUUGACCCCCAUCUGCGGAUCAUUUGUUCCCUCAAUCCAUCCUCAGGCUGAGUUGUGCAAGGCAGAUCAGGUUUCAAGCAUCUAGUCAGCACUGCCUGGCUUUGAAUCAACAGAUACUGACAGCGGUGACUAACGGAUGGUAAUAGAGGGGAGGUACGUGAGGCAACGUUGGCUCCCUCUGCUGGGUAUACAGGAGCUGGGCACCCCGACUCGGACAGCUCCAAGUGGAGGUAAUUAGAGGAAAGUGCCAACCAGCCGUGGAGGCUAAAUAAAAGGAGCCCGAUGGCACACCGUGAGGGAGAGACAGACACCAAGCAAAAGAGGGAAGAAAGACUGAGCUAAACCUAAGUGAUUUCUUUGAUAUAUUUAUUUAUUGUCUGAGUAAAGUUGUUUUUGCGGACAAAAGCCUCCCUGUCUCUGUGUCAAUCUCUGCACGAUCAACCCAACACCCCACGGUUUACCACAAUGUUUUCCUUAAGGGUCUGACCAAUGCAAACACCAAUUGGGGAGAGAUAACCAAAUGUGUUCAAAGAACGAAAGAACCGUUUGUUGAAUUUGAAGAAAGGUUUAGAGCAGAGGAGGUUCGACACAGUGGCUUACUGUUCGCAGAGGAGGUUCGACACAGUGGCUUACUGUUCGCAGAGGAGGUUCGACACAGUGGCUUACUGUUCGCAGAGGAGGUUCGACACAGUGGCUUACUGUUCGCAGAGGAGGUUCGACACAGUGGCUUACUGUUCGCAGAGGAGGUUCGACACAGUGGCUUACUGUUCGCAGAGGAGAAGACAUUUGAAGUAUAUUUCUUUUAAAAAAUGGUCUGGGGGAGUGUAAGAACAUUUUGGAGAUAAAUACACAACGCAGAGACCGAGGUCGAGAGGUCAGUACAGUACUAAUGAUUAAGGGAAAUAGUGUUUUUUCUGUAAUGGGGGAUUAAUGCGGAGACAUGGCAGGAAUCUGUCUAUAUAUUGACUCUGAAAUAGGAUACUUGUUGUUUGGCCAUUGGCCCAGUUUUAUUGCAAGUUAUUCUAAUUGGUCAACCACAGGGCUGGGUUAUAAACUACAUCCUGUCCCUUUGUUCACUGGAGAGCACCACUGGAGAGCACCACUGAAGACAGGGGAGAAUGACCAUCUACUUCCAAACAUGAUUUGUCCUAUUUUAAUAAACCUAUUUUCUUCCCCCUGAUUUGCAUUGGGACAUCAACUGCUAACAUUAGUACCAUUAAUGAUGUAACUACUGCAGAAAACACAUUUCUCCAAACCUCUGGAUGUGGUGUGAAAUCAACACCCUGACCAUAGAUGAUGUCUGCUUCAUUGAGAUGCAUGGGUAGCAGGUAGCCUAGCAGUUAAGACCACCAUAACCGAAAUGUCUCUGGUUUGAAUUCCCAAGCUGACUAGGUGAAAAAUCUGUUGAUGUGCCCUUGAGCAAGACACAACCCUAAUUGUGCCUGUAAGUCACUCUGGAUAACAAUGUCUGGGCACUGCAUCUCAGUGCUAGAGACGUCACUGCAGACCCUGGUUCGAUUCCAUGCUGUAUCACAACCGGCCGUGAUUGGGAGUCCCAUAGGGCGGUGCACAAUUAGCCCAGCGUUGUCCGGGUUAGGCUUUGGCUGAGGUAGGCCGUCAUUGUCAAUAAGAAUUUGUUCUUAACUGACUAGUUAAAUAAAGGUAAAAUAGUCUGCUAAAAUGUAAUGCAAAGCCCUGCAUUGAGGCUGGCCACAAUGACCUUUGCCCUCCGGUGUUUGUCUAUGUUCAAAACAGUGCCAUUUGAGUCUUACAAUUGAUCUGCAGAGAACUUACAAAUUAUGCCACAACAGAUGCAGAGCCUUAAAGAAGAAUAUAAAAAUGUAAUCAGUCACUGUUUUCAUAUAGUCAAACUGUGUGAUAGGUAAUACAUACAACCUG